rnacentral:rRNA from 1 species
CAGGCUUAACACAUGCAAGUCGAGGGGCAGCAUGGUCUUAGCUUGCUAAGGCCGAUGGCGACCGGCGCACGGGUGAGUAACACGUAUCCAACCUGCCGUCUACUCUUGGACAGCCUUCUGAAAGGAAGAUUAAUACAAGAUGGCAUCAUGAGUCCGCAUGUUCACAUGAUUAAAGGUAUUCCGGUAGACGAUGGGGAUGCGUUCCAUUAGAUAGUAGGCGGGGUAACGGCCCACCUAGUCUUCGAUGGAUAGGGGUUCUGAGAGGAAGGUCCCCCACAUUGGAACUGAGACACGGUCCAAACUCCUACGGGAGGCAGCAGUGAGGAAUAUUGGUCAAUGGGCGAGAGCCUGAACCAGCCAAGUAGCGUGAAGGAUGACUGCCCUAUGGGUUGUAAACUUCUUUUAUAAAGGAAUAAAGUCGGGUAUGCAUACCCGUUUGCAUGUACUUUAUGAAUAAGGAUCGGCUAACUCCGUGCCAGCAGCCGCGGUAAUACGGAGGAUCCGAGCGUUAUCCGGAUUUAUUGGGUUUAAAGGGAGCGUAGAUGGAUGUUUAAGUCAGUUGUGAAAGUUUGCGGCUCAACCGUAAAAUUGCAGUUGAUACUGGAUAUCUUGAGUGCAGUUGAGGCAGGCGGAAUUCGUGGUGUAGCGGUGAAAUGCUUAGAUAUCACGAAGAACUCCGAUUGCGAAGGCAGCCUGCUAAGCUGCAACUGACAUUGAGGCUCGAAAGUGUGGGGUAUCAAACAGGAUUAGAUACCCUGGUAGUCCACACGGUAAACGAUGAAUACUCGCUGUUUGCGAUAUACGGCAAGCGGCCAAGCGAAAGCGUUAAGUAUUCCACCUGGGGAGUACGCCGGCAACGGUGAAACUCAAAGGAAUUGACGGGGGCCCGCACAAGCGGAGGAACAUGUGGUUUAAUUCGAUGAUACGCGAGGAACCUUACCCGGGCUUAAAUUGCAGAUGAAUUACGGUGAAAGCCGUAAGCCGCAAGGCAUCUGUGAAGGUGCUGCAUGGUUGUCGUCAGCUCGUGCCGUGAGGUGUCGGCUUAAGUGCCAUAACGAGCGCAACCCUUGUUGUCAGUUACUAACAGGUUCCGCUGAGGACUCUGACAAGACUGCCAUCGUAAGAUGUGAGGAAGGUGGGGAUGACGUCAAAUCAGCACGGCCCUUACGUCCGGGGCUACACACGUGUUACAAUGGGGGGUACAGAGGGCCGCUACCACGCGAGUGGAUGCCAAUCCCCAAAACCUCUCUCAGUUCGGACUGGAGUCUGCAACCCGACUCCACGAAGCUGGAUUCGCUAGUAAUCGCGCAUCAGCCACGGCGCGGUGAAUACGUUCCCGGGCCUUGUACACACCGCCCGUCAAGCCAUGGGAGCCGGGGGUACCUGAAGUGCGUAACCGCGAGGAGCGCCCUAGGGUAAAACUGGUGACUGG